rnacentral:rRNA from 1 species
GACGAACGCUGGCGGCGUGCUUAACACAUGCAAGUCGAACGGAAAGGCCCUGCUUGCAGGGUGCUCGAGUGGCGAACGGGUGAGUAACACGUGGGUGAUCUGCCCCUUACUUUGGGAUAAGCCUGGGAAACUGGGUCUAAUACUGGAUAGGACCAUGCUGUAGGUGGUGUGGUGGAAAGAUUAGUUUCGGUAAGGGAUGAGCUCGCGGCCUAUCAGCUUGUUGGUGGGGUAAUGGCCUACCAAGGCGUCGACGGGUAGCCGGCCUGAGAGGGUGGACGGCAAGGUGGGGACUGGGACCGGGCCCAGCAUCCGGGGGGAGGGGGCAGGGGGGAAUAUGGCAAACGGGCCACAGCCCGGAGGCGGAGAAGCGCCGUGGGGGAGGACGCCCUUGGGGUUGUAACCUCGUUCAGGCAGUGAAGAACCCCUUGUGUUGAGGUUAGGGAAAGAAGAAGCCCGGGCUAACUACGUG